UACGAAGGGGGCUAGCGUUGCUCGGAAUCACUGGGCGUAAAGGGUUCGUAGGUGGCCAACUAAGUCGGACGUGAAAUCCCUCGGCUUAACCGGGGAACUGCGUCUGAUACUGGAUGGCUUGAGUUCGGGAGAGGGAUGCGGAAUUCCAGGUGUAGCGGUGAAAUGCGUAGAUAUCUGGAGGAACACCGGUGGCGAAGGCGGCAUCCUGGACCGACACUGACACUGAGGAGCGAAAGCCAGGGGAGCAAACGGG
rnacentral:rRNA from 1 species